CUACGGGCGGCACCAGUGGGGAAUAUUGCACAAUGGGCGCAAGCCUGAUGCAGCCAUGCCGCGUGUAUGAAGAAGGCCUUCGGGUUGUAAAGUACUUUCAGCGGGGAGGAAGGGAGUAAAGUUAAUACCUUUGCUCAUUGACGUUACCCGCAGAAGAAGCACCGGCUAAGUCCGUGCCAGCAGCCGCGGUAAUACGGAGGGUGCAAGCGUUAAUCGGAAUUACUGGGCGUAAAGCGCACGCAGGCGGUUUGUUAAGUCAGAUGUGAAAUCCCCGGGCUCAACCUGGGAACUGCAUCUGAUACUGGCAAGCUUGAGUCUCGUAGAGGGGGGUAGAAUUCCAGGUGUAGCGGCGAAAUGCGUAGAGAUCUGGAGGAAUACCGGUGGCGAAGGCGGCCCCCUGGACGAAGACUGACGCUCAGGUGCGAAAGCGUGGGGAGCAAACAGGAUUAGAUACCCUAGUAGUC
rnacentral:rRNA from 1 species